rnacentral:lncRNA from 1 species
AUCUCUCUCUCUGCGGAAGCCAGCCACCGCUCUCCAAGGACUCUCGAGCAGCUCCAUCUACAGAUUCACAUGGAGAAGAAUUAAGGGUUCCUGCCAAUCACCAGCACCACUUUGCCAGCCUUGUAAGUGGGCCACCUUGGAAUUGGAGCCUCCAGUUCCUACUGACAUCUGACUGCAACAUCAUGAGAGACCCUGAGUUUGAACCACCCAGCUGAGCUGCUUCUGAGCUAACCCACUGAAACCACAGUUGGCAUCUGUGUGAAGAUGUGAAUGGAGGAGGCAGGGUACGCAGUGAGUGCCGCAGCCACAGCUUGGGUUCUCUGCAGCCCUGGCACAGAAGGUAGGAACACCCAUGGGGGAUGCGGCCACUAUGAUGUCUUCCCACACAAGAAGUGCCAAGUGCUUUUCUCAUGCUUUUCUGGAUUGUUCCAUGGUGGACGAGUCAGCAGGAGUGAGAUGGAGCAGCACAGUAGAGGGGCCAGGAUAUCAUUGUACAUAUUCUCAGCUAAGUGAGCACCAAUAGAGGAGAGGGAGAGUCUCAUGGAAGUUCCUUCUAAGCCUUUGGCUCUUUUUACCUUCAACAAGGUGUGCCACCUCUUUGAUCCAGCAAGUGGGAAGAACAGUCCCGGCCUCUUUGCACACAAGACUGUGAUACGAAUGCACCAUCACAGGCCC